AUGGAGGCGACUGCAAUCUACGAUACUCGGCUUGGGACCUGGGUUAUGGUGUCUGAUGGAGAAACUCCGACAAGUGCGGUCUUGGAUGGGCUCCUGUCACAUGCGUCUAUGUUGUUUCGAGGGCUGGAGAGCGCUCUCUGCGUUGGAGCAGCCUUCGGUUUGUGCUGGGAAGCUUGGAGGUACUACGAGCGCAACUCGUGCCUGCGCAGCUAUGGCCGUGACAUGACCGGCAGCAUGCAGGCAGCCAACCCGGUGGUCGGCCGCGACAGUGGGAUUGACCGCGUCGUCUCCAUCCUCUGCCGCAAGACCAAGAACUGCGCCGCGCUGGUCGGUGCUGCAGGAGUCGGCAAGACGGCCAUCGCUCAGGGCCUUGCACAGUGCAUCGCUGCCGGGAAGGUCCCUGCGGCACUCGCCGGGGCACGCGUCGUGGAGGUUGAUCUCGCGGCGAUGGUUUCUGGGACUCUAUUCCGUGGCAUGUUCGAGGAACGCAUAAAAAGCAUGAUAAAGCAGGCAGAGGACUUAGGCGGCAAGAUAGUUCUCUUCAUCGAUGAGAUGCACAUGCUCCUUGGUGCCGAUGAUGGGAUGGGGGGAUGUCAGGAUGCUGCCAAUAUGCUGAAGCUGGCGUUGGCCCAUGGUCGUAUCCGCUGUGUGGGUGCGAUGACUUUUGAUGAUUACCGUAAGUACAUUGAGAAGGAUGCCGCACUCGAUCGGCGGUUCCAAAAGGUGCACGUUGAUGAGCCUAGCACGCAGGCCACCAUUGCCAUGCUGCGGGCGCUAAAGCAGCAGUAUGAACAGCACCACGGCUUAGGAAUCCAAGAUGCCGCUCUCGUUGCUGUCGUGCAGCUCGCUGGCCGUUACAUCACCGGUCGUCCAUUUCCUGAUAAGGCAAUUGACCUGAUUGAUGAGGCUGGUGCGACGGCAGCCAAAACAAUGAUGCCAGUUGGUGAUCAAGAAGAGAAUGUGAUCACUCUGCAGAGUAGCUCUAAAAAUGCAGUGAAGGAGGCAGUUGUUUGCCCUAAUCAUGUCGCACAAGUUGUCAGCCAAUGGACUGGAAUUCCUGUCACUGCGCUUGACCAAGAGGAGAAGAAGGACAGACUAAUCCACCUAGCGAGCAGACUGCGGGAGCGAGUUGUUGGCCAGGAUGAAGCUGUAAAUCUGGUUGCACAAGCAGUGUUACGUUCCAGAGCCGGCUUUGAUCAGCCUGGCCAACCCAUAGGACCUUUUCUCUUCUUAGGCUCGACUGGUGUUGGAAAGACAGAGCUUGCAAAAUCUCUCGCUGUACAGCUAUUUGACAGCGAGAAGAUGUUAGUUCGCUUUGACAUGUCUGAAUAUGUUGACAGGGGAUCCGUGCUGCGUCUCAUUGGAGCACCUCCAAGCUAUGAAGGCCAUGCAGACGGUGGACAAUUGACGGAGAAAAUCAGGAGACGUCCAUACAGUGUUAUCCUUUUUGAUGAGGUGGAGAAGGCAGAUCCAUCGGUCUUGAACCUCUUUAUUCAACUUCUGGAUGAUGGUGUGUUGACGGAUGGGAAAGGCCGGACAGUAGAUUUCAAGAACACCAUCAUCAUUAUGACCUCAAAUCUAGGAGCGGAGCACGUAACAGCAGGAAUGGCUGGAAAAAUCACAAUGGAAGCUGCACGGGACCUUGUGAUGGAUCAGGUUCAGAAACACUUCAAACCCGAGUUUCGCAACAGAAUGAGUGAGAUUGUGAUAUUUGAGCCGUUGUCGCACAACAAUCUUAAGGAGAUUGUGAAAAUCCAGAUGAAGAGCAUUGUCGCCAGCGUAGCUAGCAAGGGCAUCUCUCUAUCUGCGAGCGAUGCCGCUCUGGACGUGGUUUUGUCGGAAUCUUACAACACAAUAUAUGGCGCAAGGCCUGUAAAGAGGUGGUUGCUGAAGAAUGUGAUGACUGAUCUCUCCGAGAUGCUGGUCAGCGGACGAAUCUGUGAAGGCUCCUCGGUCUCCAUUGACGCUGCCAAUGACAAGGGUCUCAAGUUUGAAGUGAUGUAG
rnacentral:rRNA from 1 species